AACGGGGGGAACAAGCGAUAUCCUGGCAUUACUGGCGUCGAAGAGUUUUAAGGCUGUCACUUACAAGUUUAUGGUGAAAGCGAAGUACACUAAUUCUAUUCUGUGGUGACUUAGAGGACAAAAGGAGAAUAUCGGUACUCUCUAAUAUAAGGGUGACAUCUCUGUCACAUUAGAUGGGAACCAUCAGUUGGCGAAUGCUGUUAUCUUCUUUGUUUUAAAUUUAAACCUGACGCUGAUUAACGAAAAGUGUGGGAGCAAACAG
rnacentral:rRNA from 1 species